AUUGAACGCUGGCGGCAUGCCUUACACAUGCAAGUCGAACGGCAGCACGGGAGCAAUCCUGGUGGCGAGUGGCGAACGGGUGAGUAAUAUAUCGGAACGUGCCCAGUCGUGGGGGAUAACGUAGCGAAAGCUACGCUAAUACCGCAUACGAUCUAUGGAUGAAAGCGGGGGAUCGCAAGACCUCGCGCGAUUGGAGCGGCCGAUAUCAGAUUAGGUAGUUGGUGAGGUAAAGGACUCACCAAGCCGACGAUCUGUAGCUGGUCUGAGAGGACGACCAGCCACACUGGGACUGAGACACGGCCCAGACUCCUACGGAGGCAGCAGUGGGGAAUUUUGGACAAUGGCGCAAGCCUGAUCCAGCAAU
rnacentral:rRNA from 1 species